rnacentral:lncRNA from 1 species
UGAGAUAUUAAUUGACCUGUCCUGUUGUGGCAUAUUUACUCCUAGUUAGAACUUGGAAUCUAUCAUAUUGUUAUGUAACUGUUUACUCUUUGGUAUCGUUUUGAUAGCUUCUUAUCUCAGUUUUACUUUUUUGCAUUAAAGACUCAGAUGCUUCGGUCUGGCACAUAUAUCUUCUACAAACAUAUGCCCUUAUUUUCUCUUUGGGCCAUAUAUAUUUGUCUGAACCUGAUAUUUACCUUGUUAUAUACUUGUGCAGUAAGUGGAUGUACUAAUGGAGUCAAAGGGUGGCAAAAAGAAGUCUAGCAGUAGUCGUUCCUUGAUGUAUGAAGCUCCCCUUGGCUACAGCAUUGAGGACGUUCGACCUGCCGGAGGCGUGAAGAAGUUCCAGUCUGCUGCUUACUCCAACGUAAGCAUCAAAUACAGAUUUAAUUCCCUCCUUUGUAUCUUCCGAUGUGUUGCUAAUCAUGUCAAUUGUUCCUUUUGUUGCAGUGCGCGAAGAAGCCAUCCUGAUAGCCCUUUCGGCUUCUCCAUCCUAGUAGUUUAGGAUUUCUUGCAAUUCCAUUUUGGCACUUUUCUUCUGACCUAUUUCUCUGGCUGCUGCUUCCUGAUAAUCGACCAGUUCUCUAGUCUUGCUCCCUGCACUCCUCCCUCCUCCAUCUCCGGCACAGUGUUCUGACCAACCUGCUCCAAUGGGUGUCUUGUCUGCUGCUGACCCUCCCCCAGUCUCAGCAAUUGGGUUUGAGGGCUAUGAGAAGCGCCUUGAGAUCACUUUCUCUGAGGCACCUGUCUUUGCUGACCCUGAUGGUCGGGGUUUGCGCGCCCUCUCCAGGGCCCAGAUUGACUCUGUUCUGGAUCUUGCACGGUGCACCAUUGUGUCCGAGCUGUCCAACAAGGACUUUGACUCCUAUGUCCUCUCUGAGUCCAGCCUGUUUAUCUAUUCUGAUAAGAUUGUGAUUAAGACCUGUGGGACUACAAAGCUCCUGCUCACAAUUCCAAGGAUUCUUGAGCUUGCUGAAGGGCUUUCUAUGCCACUUGCUGCUGU